UAUAGAUGCAACCAUAAAAAC
rnacentral:piRNA from 1 species